rnacentral:rRNA from 1 species
GGCGAACGCUGGCGGCGUGCUUAACACAUGCAAGUCGAACGGUGACGGAGAGCUUGCUCUCCUGAUCAGUGGCGAACGGGUGAGUAACACGUGGGCAACCUGCCCCAGACUUCGGGAUAACGCUUCGAAAGAGGUGCUAAUACCGGAUACGAACUCCUUGGGCAUCCUUGGAGUUGGAAAGUUUCUCGGUCUGGGAUGGGCCCGCGGCCUAUCAGCUUGUUGGUGAGGUAACGGCUCACCAAGGCGACGACGGGUAGCCGGCCUGAGAGGGCGAGCGGCCACGAUGGGACUGAGACACGGCCCAGACUCCUACGGGAGGCAGCAGUGAGGAAUAUUGGUCAAUGGGCGCAAGCCUGAACCAGCCAUGCCGCGUGAAGGAUGAAGGUUCUAUGGAUUGUAAACUUCUUUUAUUUGGGAAUAAACCCCUUUACGUGUAGAGGGCUGAAGGUACCAAAUGAAUAAGCACCGGCUAACUCCGUGCCAGCAGCCGCCGUAACAC